CCAAUCUUCUACUAGAAGCAGGCAUCAAUCGGCUAUAUGGGAAUUUAGAAUAAAAGUUAACUCAUCAGAAAGUUAAAUACUGUCAUUAAGACAAACCCAAAAUAAAAGAGGAAGUUGCAGAGUCCAGCAGGUCUCCUGUCAGAGUUUCAGGAAACAGACUGCUCAAGUCUGAACGUUAUUCAUGCCAAAGUGUUUUUACCAGCCUAUCGGAAAGUCAAGCUGGUUGGAUCUCCUUUGAUCUUCAAGUGCAUUUGUUUUUUGGUUUUUUUGCCAGUUUUGGCAGAUAUGUACAACUUCCUUUUGCUCGCUAUUCUUUUAAGCUCCUUAAUGACAGUAUUAAAGUUUCACAAGAAGAUUUUUCGUACAAUCCUUGCAAAUGCACUCUAUCUUUACAUGGCUGCUGCGAGCACUUAAAUAGCUAGUUCCAGACUUCCAGUUGUUUGGGAAGUUGACGAGCCAAGAGGAUCAACAGCUUUUUGCACAUUGCAACCCACAACAAAAGCAGACACCCAUGUUUGACAGCAAGUUCAAGGCCAGUCAUUAUUCCAAGAAGUAAUAUUGUAUGCAAAGAAGGAUGUAAACUUGGCAAAACUUUCAUUGAUUCAAAGUUUUAAAUCGAAGGAAUAUGUUGCUGGGACCCAUUUCUAUUGGUUUUUGACUAAUGAUGGUAUUGAGUUUUGGAUCACUUAUUUGAAUCUACCAUCUGAGAUUGUGCCUAAUACUUUCUGCUCUAACUGGUACAGCACCACAGAGUUAUCGCCUAGGUGGUUUAGACAUGUUAAAAGUAGACAGGAAUGCGUUCAGUUAUGAAGAUGGAAUAUUUACGGGUGAAGUAACUCGUCAGGCACAUCAGUCUGUUACAGCUAAAUUUAAAUAUUUUGAGGACAUGGUGUUGGAGAAUGCAAAAGAACAUCGUGUUUUGCCCCGUACUGUUUUCAUUGGUGACUCAGUUAGUGACUUGUUGUGCCUGCUUACAGCUGAUAUUGGCAUUGUGAUUGGGUCAAACAGAAGCACAAUUAAUGUGGGAUAUCACUUUGGUAUUACAUUUCUACCUCUGUAUGCUGGUGUGUUCCAGGAACAGAAAAAAACGCUUCGAAACUGACAACCCUAUUGUCUGGACAAAAGUGGUCGAAAUUAAGUUCUGGAAUGCAGAAUUGGGUAUGUACAGAUGGUGCUCUACGGAGAGUUUUAUUGAGGGCCGUGCAUUGAAGUAGCGAAAACUGUCCGAGGGAUGAUGAAGAUUUAG